rnacentral:sRNA from 1 species
UUGAUGUUAUCCUGUGCCGAAUCAGCG